AAACCCUAGAUCGAAUCGAAGCUAAAUAAGUACAUCGACGCGAACAACUGAAAUGCAAUGUGCGAAAAAACCCUACUAAGGAGGUUUAUCCUUCAGAAGAAAUCCAAUUCAAAACCUGGAUCUCGCGCCCGAGCCCUUGAUUCGAACAAACCCUAGAGAAAAAAAGUGAGAUCAGACAGAAACCACUCUUCGCUAUUAUUCUUCACCGAAAGAGCGAAGACAAAACAGAAGUGAGAGAGAGAGAGAGAGAACGAGAGAGAGA
rnacentral:misc_RNA from 1 species